rnacentral:rRNA from 1 species
AGUGAACGCUGGCGGUAGACCUAACACAUGCAAGUCGAACGGCAGCACAGUAAGAGCUUGCUCUUACGGGUGGCGAGUGGCGGACGGGUGAGGAAUACAUCGGAAUCUACUUUUUCGUGGGGGAUAACGUAGGGAAACUUACGCUAAUACCGCAUACUACCUACGGGUGAAAGCAGGGGAUCUUCGGACCUUGCGCGAUUGAAUGAGCCGAUGUCGGAUUAGCUAGUUGGCGGGGUAAAGGCCCACCAAGGCGACGAUCCGUAGCUGGUCUGAGAGGAUGAUCAGCCACACUGGAACUGAGACACGGUCCAGACUCCUACGGGAGGCAGCAGUGGGGAAUAUUGGACAAUGGGCGCAAGCCUGAUCCAGCCAUACCGCGUGGGUGAAGAAGGCCUUCGGGUUGUAAAGCCCUUUUGUUGGGAAAGAAAAGCAGCAGGUUAAUACCCCGCUGUUCUGACGGUACCCAAAGAAUAAGCACCGGCUAACUUCGUG